rnacentral:rRNA from 1 species
GACGAACGCUGGCGGCGUGCUUAACACAUGCAAGUCGAACGGAAAGGCCCUGCUUUUGUGGGGUGCUCGAGUGGCGAACGGGUGAGUAACACGUGAGUAACCUGCCCUUGACUUUGGGAUAACUUCAGGAAACUGGGGCUAAUACCGGAUAGGAGCUCCUGCUGCAUGGUGGGGGUUGGAAAGUUUCGGCGGUUGGGGAUGGACUCGCGGCUUAUCAGCUUGUUGGUGGGGUAGUGGCUUACCAAGGCUUUGACGGGUAGCCGGCCUGAGAGGGUGACCGGCCACAUUGGGACGGAGAUACGGCCCAGACGCCAACGGGAGGAAGAAGGGGGGAAUAUUGAACAAUGGGCGGAAGCCGGAUGCAGCAGCGCCGGGUGGGGGAUGAGGGCCUUCGGGUGGUAAACCGCUUCCGCCUGUGACGAAGGGUGAGUGACGGUAAUGGAUAAAGAAGACCCGGCUAACUACGUG